CCACUCAUCCUCUCCCAUUCCCCAGAUCCAAUCGAGGCACCCCGCCGCCCCCGCCUUCCUUUCCCUCGCUCGUCUCAUCUCCCUCCCGCGAUUCCCACUGCCGUCACCCCCACCCACCACCGCCGACCUCGUCUCCGCCAUGCACCCCUCGCCUUCCUCUGCGGCUCCAAGGCUCGGCGCUCGGCGAGGGGGAAGCGGUGAGGCCGAGGUGGAGGACGGGGAUGGGGUGCAUGUUCGACUACUUCCGUGCGGCUGCGCCCAGCUCGCCUCGGAUCUAGGCUCAACGGAGCGGAGAUGAAUAUCACGAUGCUCGUCGUGUUGAGGCCGUCGGCCGGAGGCGCCGGGGGAUCCUCCUCCAGCGGCGGGUAGGGCUCCGAGGCGCUCGUGCUGGCCAACGCCACGGACGUCAGCCACUUCGGCUUCUUCCGGCGCGGCGCCGCACGCGAGUUCAUCGUCUUCGUCGCCCGCACCGUCGCCCAGCGCACCCAGCCAGGCCAGCGCUAGUCCGUCCAGCACGAAGGUAACCACCCAUCUCAGAUCUGCUUGCCGCUACCUGGUUUAGUUUACUUUGUGAUACUAGAGCAAGGGCGACAUGGGUGAUUAUGGCGAUCUCUGCAAAGUAGCUUGUAGCCCUAUCUGGUAGUUCAUGUGAUGCGCUGUAGGAUUCGCAGUUGCAAAGUGAUCUUGUUGCUGAAGUAGCGCUGUAGGCUUGUGCUUCUGUCCAUAAUGAUUCCCUCUGUUCGAGGGUGUCCCGGCUGCAGAGGUGGUAAGUGGGGUGCCUCCCUCUGUUCACAGUUCACAUAGUACUACUUUGGGUUGCAUUCAGAUGGUUUAUUUGUUCGAUUAACUUCAGUGUUUCAGGUUUUAAGUGUCCUAUGUGUCUGUCUCCAAAUUAUUUUGUUGCAUAUACCAUGUUCACAUAGUUUUAUUAUCUGAACUUUUUGGACGAAUCAUAGAAGAAUUUUGAAAUCCCUAUUACAACAAAUACUGAAAUAUUAGUACUGCUCCUAGAUGUUUCUCGAAAAUUAAUGAUAUUCGUUUGACUUUUACUAGGCUAUACAGCCAAGUAUAUGCACACUAUGGCAAUAUGCAGCCUUGAGAUAAACAUAAAUAUUUUCCAAGGGUGUAUUAACAUGUGCCGCUAACUUCAAAUUAAAAGGAUUUGGGUGGAUCAUUUAAAAUGCAUAACACUUUUCAACUGCAGUGAUUAAUCUGCACUUAUGGUGCCGUUACCUCUUUUGUUAUUUCUGAUACUCUUCUUGUCUGUAGGACAAUGGAAGUCCUUUGUUCGGAGAGAGAAACCAAGUUGAAGUGAGUGGAAAAUACUUCGGUGCAUCCUGGAGUCCAGCUACUGUUCUUAAAGUGAUUGGUGCUUCACAUUUUCUAGUACAGUACAUGCAUACUGAAAAUGAUGGGUACACGGAGUUUUUUGAAACAGAAACUUGUUCAUGGCCCUACUUGUGUCGGACAGCAAGUGCCAAACUUGAAACAGAAACUUGUAGUAGCGGGCCUGGAGCUUAGUUCUUCAAGCAUAACCUUUUAAAGCAGAAAUCAAUGCACCUCAUUGUUAUAUUUUUUUGUUUGCCCUACAGCUUUAAGCACUGUUGGUACAAUGUGAACUGGACUUCUUGGGGUGACUGGAUUUUGGGCAAACUUUGUUGCUGAUAUUGGCCAAACUUUAUGAUACAGAGUUUUGGUAAAUAAGCUAUUUUCUGAAGAAUUUUGUUGUGGAUAAUAUAUGUAUCUGUAGUAUGUGUGAAAUGUUGCAAGCUUCGCAUGUCAUUGAGAUUCUGGAAGAUGAUUUGGUUCACUUCACCCAGUGAUUUCUUUGUCAUAAACUGAGCAUAUGCGGUUUCUUCAGGAACCCUCCUUAUUGAAGUGUGCAUCCAUUCCAUUGAGAUGGCUAUUCCAAGCAGCAAAGUUUUGUUAAUGACAGUUCGUGUGCUUGCCCACUAACAAUUUUGCAUUUCUGCCCAAUAACAGGUUCCACUUCUUGGUGGAGCGAUGUGCAUGUGCACCUGGCAUUUCUUCUACAACUCAGUCUCUCGAGGUAACAUAUUGACCUGAAGGCAAAGCUACACCACAGGACUGAACCAUACCGUACGCCGGGCGUGGUCGUGCUACUAACCGCCAGGCCACCGACGCUGGCGCCGGUGCCGACCCCGACCAGAGAUCCGUCGCCGCCCAGGACCCCAAGCUACUGGACGACUUCGCAGACACCGAAGCCAACACCAAAGUUUAAUUACCACCUCCAAAUCAAAUCCUGGGGCUUCAUUCAUGGCUGUCUAGUACUGCUAGUUAAUCCUGGGGCUUAUUUACCAUCAGUUAGUACACUAUCCAGUACUGCUAGUUCUCAUCUCACUUGUUGUGCUUCUUGGACUGGGAGCACUCUUUGUUAUCCAAGAUCUAACAUGAAAGGUAAAAUGGGUACAUCGCUUGUCUUGUUGUAUUUGCAAGUUUGAAACUGGAUUAGCAUCUUGGAGUAUUGUUGUACUCCAACAGACUAAACAGUACGUACUCCAGUGCUGAUAGUUAGAGUAGCAUCUUGGAGUAGGGUAGUCCACAUUUGUCUAAAUUAGACCGGAUUAUUCAGAUUAGUCCACAUUUUAUAUUAUUCUUGGAGUACUGUACUGUAGCAGCAGCAUGAGUAAACUGAAUACUCCUUCAUAUGUUUUGUUCCUCCUUAUUCUUCCUCAGAUUGUGAAAAUGGAUUCAUUCCUUCUUACGCACUGCACUGUACUGUAAUAUUGGUUGCUUUUGAUGAGUGCCAGAGAGCAAUAAUAGAUCAUUUUUCGAAUUAAUACUCCAAAAUUUAUCUGUAUUGGAGGAGUGAUUGUUUCCAAAUCAAUACUACUGGGCAUCAUUCAUGGCUGUCUAGUAGUCAACAUACUUCUGGUUCCAUUUAGUAUAUGCAGGUAGCAGCAGCUUAAGUGUAAUGGACCUGUUGUUACUCUAUGCCUACGUUGUUAGAGUUUGCAUCAUCUCCUUGUUGUUUAUAGCAUAAUUGCCUUCACUAUUCUUGCUCUGAACCUUUGAUCAUGAUACUGACUGUAUUUGUCUUGAUGGAAUUACAGGCAACAUGGUGACUCUAGUGUAGGCAACACUGGCCAUCCUCUUCGAGGCUGUGUGUUUAGGACGAGCUGCAGCGGGACAACUUGGAGAGCAAGUACUUUGAGGACAAGAUCAAGGAGAACCAAGAGAAGAUCACCGGUUACCUCAUACUUCUCGGCAUGCCUAGCAACUUUGGCAGAUCCCUCUUUGGCUUCGACCAAGUUACAUUUGUCACUAGCCAGCAGCAUUUACAGGUGUUGUCAGUUCUGGAAGAUGGAAGAGGAAGAAAAAUAAUUUUUGUUGAACUAAAUUUUCUGUAUUCUGUUUUGUUGUAUGUAUGAUUUGAUAGUUUUGUAUAGGAACAAGUGAUACUAUUUUGUAGGGCUUUAUGGCCUGUGUACUAUUUUGUAGGGCUUUAUGGCCUGUGAUGUAAACAUAUUUAGUGCUGAAUUAUGAAUUUUUUGAAAAAAUUAUUAGAAAGGAGAAUCAUUUGUAUGAAUCGCCAAA